UACAGAGGGUGCGAGCGUUGUUCGGAAUUAUUGGGCGUAAAGGGCGCGUAGGCGGUGCGGUAAGUCACCUGUGAAAUCUCCUGGCUUAACUGGGAGCUUGCAGGCGAAACUGCCGUGCUGGAGUGUGGGAGAGGUGCGUGGAAUUCCCGGUGUAGCGGUGAAAUGCGUAGAUAUCAGGAGGAACACCGGUGGCGAAGGCGGGUCUCUGGGCCGAUACUGACGCUGAGGAGCGAAAGCGUGGGGAGCGAACAGG
rnacentral:rRNA from 1 species